GCAUGGGUGGUUCGGUAGAAUUCUCGUCUUCUAUGCAGGAGACCUGGAUUCAAUUUCCGGUCUAUGUA
rnacentral:tRNA from 1 species